rnacentral:rRNA from 1 species
UGGGGAAUAUUGCACAAUGGGCGCAAGCCUGAUGCAGCCAUGCCGCGUGUGUGAAGAAGGCCUUCGGGUUGUAAAGCACUUUCAGCGGGGAGGAAGGCGAUAAGGUUAAUAACCUUGUCGAUUGACGGUACCCGCAGAAGAAGCACCGGCUAACUCCGUGCCAGCAGCCGCGGUAAUACGGAGGGUGCAAGCGUUAAUCGGAAUUACUGGGCGUAAAGCGCACGCAGGCGGUCUGUCAAGUCGGAUGUGAAAUCCCCGGGCUUAACCUGGGAACUGCGUUCGAAACUGGCAGGCUAGAGUCGUGUAGAGGGGGGUAGAAUUCCAGGUGUAGCGGUGAAAUGCGUAGAGAUCUGGAGGAAUACCGGUGGCGAAGGCGGCCCCCUGGACAAAGACUGACGCUCAGUUGCGAAAGCGUGGGGAGCAAACAGG